rnacentral:rRNA from 1 species
CCUACGGGUGGCAGCAGUGAGGAAUAUUGGUCAAUGGGCGGAAGCCUGAACCAGCCAAGUAGCGUGCAGGAUGACGGCCCUACGGGUUGUAAACUGCUUUUAUACGGGAAUAACGCGCCUUACGUGUAGGGCUUUGCAUGUACCGUAUGAAUAAGGACCGGCUAAUUCCGUUCCAGCAGCCGCGGUAAUACGGAAGGUCCGGUCGUUAUCCGGAUUUCUUGGGUUUAACAGGAGCGUAGGCCGCAGGUCAAGAGUGCGGUGAAAUUUCUGGGCUCAACCCGGGCCUUGCAGCGCGAACGGGCGUGCUUGAGUCCGCGGAAAGCAGGCGGAAUUCGUCGUGUAGCGGUGAAAUGCUUAGAUAUGACGAAGAACCCCGAUUGCGAAGGCAGCUUGCUGCAGCGGAACUGACGCUGAUGCUCGAAAGCGCGGGUAUCGAACAGGAUUAGAUACCCCAGUAGUC